CCUACGGGAGGCAGCAGUGGGGACUAUUGCACAAUGGGGGGAACCCUGAUCCAGCGACGCCGCGUGAGUGAAGAAGUAUUUCGGUAUGUAAAGCUCUGUCAGCAGGGAAGAAAGUAAUGACGGUACCUGACUAAGAAGCCCCGGCUAACUACGUGCCAGCAGCCGCGGUAAUACGUAGGGGGCAAGCGUUAUGCGGAUUUACUGGGAGUAAAGGGAGCGUAGACGGCGAUGCAAGUCUGAAGUGAAAGGCGGGGGCCCAACCCCCGGACUGCUUUGGAAACUGUAUGGCUGGAGUGCAGGGGAGGUAAGUGGAAUUCCUAGUGUAGCGGUGAAAUGCGUAGAUAUUAGGAGGAACACCAGUGGCGAAGGCGGCUUACUGGACUGUAACUGACGUUGAGGCCCGAAAGCGUGGGGAGCAAACAGGAUUAGAUACCCGAGUAGUC
rnacentral:rRNA from 1 species